GACGUAGGGGGCGAGCGUUGUCCGGAUUUAUUGGGCGUAAAGCGCGCGUAGGCGGCUCGUUAAGUCGGGUGUGAAAACCCGGGGCUCAACCCCGGGCCUGCAUCCGAUACUGGCAGGCUUGAAUCCGGGAGAGGGAUGCGGAAUUCCAGGUGUAGCGGUGAAAUGCGUAGAUAUCUGGAGGAACACCGGUGGCGAAGGCGGCAUCCUGGACCGGCAUUGACGCUGAGGCGCGAAAGCCAGGGGAGCAAACGGG
rnacentral:rRNA from 1 species